rnacentral:rRNA from 1 species
GACGAACGCUGGCGGCGUGCUUAACACAUGCAAGUCGAACGAGAAUCUACUGAAAGAGUUUUCGGACAAUGGAUGUAGAGGAAAGUGGCGGACGGGUGAGUAACGCGUGAGGAACCUGCCUUGAAGAGGGGGACAACAGUUGGAAACGACUGCUAAUACCGCAUGAUGCAUAGGGAUCGCAUGAUUCUUAUGCCAAAGAUUUAUCGCUUCAAGAUGGCCUCGCGCCUGAUUAGCUAGUUGGCGGGGUAACGGCCCACCAAGGCGACGAUCAGUAGCCGGACUGAGAGGUUGAACGGCCACAUUGGGACUGAGAUACGGCCCAGACUCCUACGGGAGGCAGCAGUGGGGAAUAUUGGGCAAUGGGCGCAAGCCUGACCCAGCAACGCCGCGUGAAGGAAGAAGGCUUUCGGGUUGUAAACUUCUUUUAAGAGGGAAGAGCAGAAGACGGUACCUCUAGAAUAAGCCACGGCUAACUACGUG